rnacentral:rRNA from 1 species
GCACGAGCGCACCCUUGUCUUAUUGCCAUCAUUAAUUGGGAACUCUAACGGGACUGCCGGUGCUAAACCGGAGGAAGGUGGGGAUGACGUCAAGUCCUCAUGGCCCUUACAGGGUGGGCUACACACGUGCUACAAUGGCGACUACAGAGGGUUAAUCCUUAAAAGUUGUCUCAGUUCGGAUUGUCCUCUGCAACUCGCGGGCAUGAAGUUGGAAUCUCUAGUAAUCGCGGAUCAACACGCCGCGGUGAAUACAUUCCCGGGCCUUGUACACACCGCCCGU